AUGAUCCCCACAUUCUUUUGUGUGAUGCUUUGUCUGCGAAGAGCAGGAGAUGGUGGAAUCACCCAGACACCUAGAGACUGGAUAACAAAGACCUCAAGAAAGAUAAUCCUGAAGUGUUCUCAGGAUAGGAACCACUCUCGGAUGUCCUGGUAUCGACAAGAUGCAGGACAGGGGUUGAAGCUAAUUCAUUACUCGGUAGGCAUUGACAGAACUACCAAAGGAGAUGUCCCUGAAGGGUACAGUGCCUUCAGAAAUGAGACACAGAGCUUUCCCCUGACAUUAGAGUCAACCAGCUCCAACCAGACCUCCAUGUACUUCUGUGCCAGCAGCGAACAAACAUAG